rnacentral:rRNA from 1 species
AUUGAACGCUGGCGGCAGGCCUAACACAUGCAAGUCGAACGGUAACAGGAAGCAGCUUGCUGCUUUGCUGACGAGUGGCGGACGGGUGAGUAAUGUCUGGGAAACUGCCCGAUGGAGGGGGAUAACUACUGGAAACGGUAGCUAAUACCGCAUAACGUCGCAAGACCAAAGAGGGGGACCUUAGGGCCUCUUGCCAUCGGAUGUGCCCAGAUGGGAUUAGCAGUAGGUGGGGUAACGGCUCACCUAGGCGACGAUCCCUAGCUGGUCUGAGAGGAUGACCAGCCACACUGGAACUGAGACACGGUCCAGACUCCUACGGGAGGCAGCAGUGGGGAAUAUUGCACAAUGGGCGCAAGCCUGAUGCAGCCAUGCCGCGUGUAUGAAGAAGGCCUUCGGGUUGUAAAGUACUUUCAGCGGGGAGGAAGGGAGUAAAGUUAAUACCUUUGCUCAUUGACGUUACCCGCAGAAGAAGCACCGGCUAACUCCGUG